GCGCGUGUGAAUUGCAGGAAGUUUCUAGUGCCCUUGCCUUCACCUGGUUGUGUAUAAAUACCCUUCAACCCUUGCAACAUUUCAACUCACCACCAGCAAUGGCGAUGGCUCUUCAUCAUUCCCUUAUAUUCAUUGUCCUCUUGGCAUUAGUCUAAGUAUGUUCAUCCGAGGGUCCAUUCCCUCCUUCCCACCACAAUGAAAAGCCUCCCCCACAAGUUCACCCUCCGCCACUUCACAAACCAGAACCACACCAUCCUUCUCCCUUUGCUCCAAAGACUCCACCCCUUCACAAGCCCCCAUUUGAAGGGAAACCUCCCAUGAAAGGUGCUCCUCCACUUCCUAAGCCACAACCACACCCCGCUUCUCCAUUUAUUCCAAAGCCACCUCCACUUCCUAAGCCACAACCACACCCCGCUUCUCCAUUUAUUCCAAAGCCACCUCCACUUCACAAGCCUCAACCACCCCUCAUUCCCAAGCCUCCACCAGUGCAUGGUAAGGUGCCUCCUCAUACUAUCAAUGAGCACCCCACUUCUUUCUCCCAUGAAAAGCCUCAUCCUCCUCUUACUCCUCCAUUUCACAAGCCAGGCUCCCCCAGCUUCAAUCCUCAUGGCAAACCUCAUCCUCCCUUGAAGAAAUCUCCUCCUAAGCCAGUAGUAAAGCCCCCACCAAAGCAUGGACACUACAAUCCUCCUGCCAUGCAUUAGUCUCCUCCACAUCAUCCUACUCAUUAGAUAUUUUAUAGCCAUUUCGUGGAAAAUAUAUAGAUUGCAAGUAAAAGAGAGGAGGUUUAGAUACUACCUAUCUAUAGUAGUAUUACCUACUACAUGUUGGUUUUGCCGACGAUGGGAGACAUGAAUUCCUUACUCAGAAAUGUUGUUGGUUUUAUUUUCAUGUUAUAAAUAGUUUUAUAUUAUAAUAAUGAAUCUUUUAAGGUGA